UACAGAGGGUGCGAGCGUUGUUCGGAAUUACUGGGCGUAAAGCGCGCGCAGGCGGAUCCUGCAAGUCCGGAGUGAAAUCUCACCGCUCAACGGUGAGGCUGCUUUGGAUACUGCGGAUCUGGAGACCGGUAGAGGCUGGUAGAAUUGCAGGUGUAGCGGUGGAAUGCGUAGAGAUCUGCAAGAAUACCCGUGGCGAAGGCGGCCUUCUGGGAUGAUCCUGACGCUCAGACACGAAAGCUAGGGGAGCGAACGGG
rnacentral:rRNA from 1 species